AAUCCAUAUUGUGGGCACCUCCACAAAAGGCCCUUGAAACACUCCCAUGUCUCAAGCAAUAACUCUAAUUCAACCUAUACGAACAACGAUAUCUCAUUACGAAGCUU